GUGGGGGUGGGAGGGGCAAAAUUAAACAUCCCACUCAGUCAGCCGAGCACUCUAUUUUUCUUUCUUCUUAUGCUUUUAUAUUAAUUCAUACACAUGAAAUCUUAUUGCAGUUUCUCCUUCAAAUUCAAAAGUGUGACACUUGAGUCAAGUGGAUGGUACCAAUAACGUUCAUAAUGAUGGAAUAAUGUUGGAGUUAUGAGAUAAAGCGCCUCAGGU